AGUCGGUGGGGUAACCUUUUUGGAGCCAGCCGCCUAAGGUGGGACAGAUGAUUGGGGUGAAGUCGUAACAAGGUAGCCGUAUCGGAAGGUGCGGCUGGAUCACCUCCUUUCUAUGGAGA
rnacentral:rRNA from 1 species